GCAAAUUAAAAAUUGGAGUUGAUCGUGGGUCUAACAAAUCUCAUAUCUACCUAAACCAGCCAAGCUAACUAAGGUUAAUGAUGACGAGACCGAGAAAUGAAACGGAUACAUACCUCUUUGAUUUACAAGUCUGUUGUACCAAGCUGACAGGCUGCAAUUAAGAUUUACGAAAGAGGAUCAGCAUCAUGAAGAGGUAACUCAGUUGCUCAAUAACCUCAGCUGCUUUUUCAAGCUUUUGGAGAACGACGCAGGACCCUUCUUACGCCGGCUAACCUUGUUAUUUCCUCCGGACAUGAGGUUCGUGUUUGCGCUUGGUAUUCUGAUCUUUCUUUCCCCCGAUGGAAAGAAUGUAAGCCAUGUUCCUUACAAUGGCAACUGGCCUACCACCACGAUGGAAAUGGAAAUGAGAUUUCAGGAUCGAAAUUUUCGCUGAUUUCUGCCGUUUUAUCGGGGGCUCGAGUCCGAGUGGUGAUUGAUAAGUACAGCACAGAAGCCGAUAAUGUGCAUGUCUUCGGCCAUCACGUGUUUGCUCAACUGCUACAGCACGUUAGCAAAGCCUCUUGGAACAAGUUUCAACAUAGUGCCUACUGGUGGUGGGUGAUCAUGUUCACUAACGGGAAUAGGAAAAUUACGAGGUAUAACGUUGGCUUAAACAUAUAUCGUGGAACCAGCAAUAAAAAAGGGAGCAUCUGGUGAUAUGUGCAGACAUCAACUUUCGUUUCCAUGCCAUCAUUCUCUCACUUGGCCGAUGGCAGCUUAGUGCAGGGUAACCUGAGUAACCUGGUAAAAAGCGUUAAGAGUGGCCAUGAAAUUCGAUGCGUCACUGAUAAGAAGUAUGCCUUUCCGCUUCAGAAUGUCGCGAUUAACAGCCAGGGUGUCGGCUUCGUCUCAGGGCAAAAUGUCGACUCCAUAAGCAUCAAAAGGAACGAUAAUUUGAUACAAUUUCAGAGUAACGUGUACUGAUGGUUUACUGUAGUAACAACACGUGGAUUGCGCGACAUGUCACG